rnacentral:rRNA from 1 species
GCAGCGAAAAGCGCUCGGCUGGGUCGUUUCACCGUCGGUAUGGUUCACUCCUUCUUUUUGCUGUGGUUUAAUAUGCUCGUAGAGGUAGAGGAGAGGGGAGCGCGUUUCCCUCCUCCCUCUCCGGUAGGUGAGGUGCCGCGGCUAGCUAGCCUCGUCGCCUCUCCUGCCGCGCGCGCAGCCGCUACGCCUUCCCGGGCAGCGCCAGCCCCAGCCGCGCCGUGGUCGUCAAGGCGCGGGCACGGUUCUGGGCGCAGCUGCUGGAGGUCCUGUACAAGAGGCCGGAGGUCAUGCGGGCGUUCCUCCGGGCGAGGUGGCUGCGGCAGGAGGAGCUCCGGGUCGAGGUGGUCUACGAGGCGCUCACCGCGCGGCUCGAGUCGCAGGGCAGGGGGCGGAGGAGGGAGGUCCGUCCCUUGUUGUUGGCCCUGGGCAGCCUAGGCGGCAGGCUCUGUGGCGCCGGCGGCGUCGACCGCGGCCGGCUCCUCCUCCUGCUGCGGUGGUCGUUCGAGCAGCUCGUCUUCGGGGCCGGCAGGCGAUUAGUCUGAGUGUUCGUGGGCGCCCCUCUGGUCCUGUACUUCGGCCUCGGCGCGCUCCUUCGCUAGCGCGUAGGUCACUGCCACCGCGUCGUCGGCGGCAGCGACCCAGGCCCUCAGUAGUGGUGAGGUCGAUCACGGCCCAAGGUGCUAGUCUACAUGAUACACUUGGUCCUCGAAUCACAACUCCUAAAAGAAAUGCUGCUACUAAUGUUCUAUUUGGAAGGACCCAGGUUAGGUCUUUAGGAGUUAUUGGAACUUCCCUAACCAGUAGUUCUUAUAGACGUCAAGUUAAACGGUGUUCUCAACGGGGGAUUACGUAUAGAACUAUACUUGUUGAUACCCGUCUUACGACCUCUACCAAAGGAGGUGUACAGUCUGAACGAGUGUUGUUACAGAGGUCGUGGACGAAGUAAAGACUCCGGUUUCACGCGAGAGACCCUGACGGGAGCAGGACGAGUUCCUAGACUUUCGACCGUUCUAAUGACGUCGUACAUGGUACGACUUAACCGGCACUUCCUUCUCCCGGGAGGUCCGUGUUACGGACACUAGGCGGGCUCUCCAUAACUAGAUUUUCUACCGGGAAACAAACGACGAGAAUCACGCUUUUAGGUUCCUUUCGUACAGCCACAAGGACAGACACUUCCCCGACGUUGAUGCUUCAGGGGAACCUUACGUGGACUUGAAAAGCUGGAAAUGUAGAAACUUCCACUUAGAUACUCUCUUACCGAAAAGAAACUGUUUGGUUCUUCCCGUAAGCUGUCACCUUUGGCCUUCGUUUCCAGUGACGGUCUAAUGUUGCCGGCACCGACCGUACUUAGUUCCUUCGUCCACUACUUUCUGAAACCCCCAGAUUUCUCCAGUAUGAUGUACCUAGGUGUCGGUAGGUCGUCGAUGCUUACCGUGGAGAUACUCAUGCUCUAGUUACUGGCGCUGCGAAAACGGAAUAUGGCCGAGCUUAAGUUCAGAAGCCUUCGUUUCUUCUCACGAUUCAGUUUUAAGUGAACGUCAGGUGACUAACUUUAGGUCGUCGUUUACCAGUCCGACUCGCGUCUGCCAGUGCACCUCUUGUUCGCCUGACGGGCACACGCCUGUGUCCUACAGUCGUGUUUGUAGAUGGGCCAAGUCUUGUUGUGCCGAGUCCGGUCACGAGGCCUGCGAAUGGUCCGUCGCAGCGUCCACCUGGUCUACUGCAAAAACUUGCCGUCACAACAAAUACCCGGAGUAGAGGGUAUACCGAUGAGCUGGCUUCCUCCACUGAAGAUAACCUUGAGUUUACUGCCCCGAACUAUUUUGGUAGAAGCUGAACACCGUAUAAAAGCCGAAGUUCAAGAUUGGCAUAGUCGACUUUGCAGAGAAACUCCGUUCCCCCCCUGGGUAAGUAACACAGACGCGGCGCAGGUCACAGGACUAUCAUCGUAGAGGAACCACGUGUCGCGUACUACUCUCUACCUAAUGUUGUAAACUAUCCACAGCUGUAGAAACGACGUCGAUGUCCAAACGUUGGAGAUCUUUCCUUUCGUGUAUAACCAUAAAUAGUUCCAACACUUAGCAAAACAACAUCGCAGUUCCCGUGUCGUGUUCAAAGACUUCUUGUCGUGUAUAAUUAUAAAAAAUGUACACGACGGCCCUGUACAACCGUCGAUGUCGUUUUUCUGGCAUAUCCCUCCGCGGAACCGAGUACAGGUAGCCCAGAGGUUCAAUAGUCUUAUUUAUUUGGCUUCCAAGUAUUUUCUUUAUAGUUUCACACUAGGAUACUAAAAACCAGUUCUAAAGGAAAACGACGGUUUUUGUUUUUGUUUACACAAAGAUAAAAAAACUCCCUUUUGUUCACACAAAGAUUUAUGUUGCAUGAUGAUAUAACAUCUUAGUGUACAAAAAAACACACAUCGUGUGUACUGGUAUAAAAAUUAUUCUAAGAUGUAUGUGUAUCGUGCCCACGAUAAUACUGAAAAUUCACAAAAACUAAUUAUAAUAAUAAUCGUAAUAAAAGCUUUCCGAGGUUCUCUAUAUGUGGUUCCUUCACUGUAACCGAUUUUGUCAAAUAAGUAUUCGAAACCUUAUAUAUGGUUUAAUUUAGUAGUCUUCUAUAUUACGUAUUUUUGUGCGAGUGAGCUCGUCGUGUUCUGUUCUCAAAGUGUACCAAGUAGUUCAUCUUGUCCUCGUUAAUCAUUUAUAUUGUUGUAUCAUAGCCUUAUCUAGGUAACAGUGGCGUUCUUAAAUAAGAGUUCAAGAAUUCGGGACUGGUAUUUAGUUGUUGAAGAGUUUUGUAGUGGUACCGUGGGCUAGAAGUAAGUAGUAGACACGCGUGUCGACGUUGUACUUGUUGGUUCAAUCACAAGUUCUCUUGUUAUGUAGUACUUCAUGUUGGUUUCGUUCUUUCUCGGAGUAAACCAAUAUGAACCAAGUUAUGGGUGGUUGGUGGUACUCUUUCGUUCUGCAAUUUAUACGUUCAUGUUUUAGUAGUGUCUUCGACCUAUUCGUUUAAUAAGUCUUACCGCAUCUACAACCUAGGUUGUGAAGUACGUUUAGUGAGUCUCUCGUUUGUAUUGUCAGUGAAUUCGUAAGGUUUUGUUUUGAUGUAGAUGAAAACGUCAAGGACUUUCUUAUAGGUCCUCAACGUUAAUUUUAUAUCUAUCAAUACACUUUGUGCGUUAGUCAUAACGAUAUCUAGUGAUGAGUCACAAGUGUACGUUAGUACGUACGACGACUUAUCAGAGGGAGACGAAACGAUGGUCGAGACAUAGUAUGUUUAUCCCAUACUUUUUAGAACUCCGUAAACGUCUUGAUACUCCAUGACUACGUAACUGCGACUUUUCACUUUUGAUGCCCACGAUUAAUAAUGGUGUGGUCACGGAGAUAAUCAUCUGAACGUGUACGGAAACGGAGUACUCCAAAGAAAUAGCAAUCGUACUCAAGCACUUACGAGAACACGUGCGUCGUCUGCACCACGGUGCCUAAUUCGAGUACUAUAAAAGGAACGUAGUCCCCUUUCUUUAUAUAACGUUUUUCGAACGUCUCUAAUUAGUUAUUGGUACUGACGUAUCUUCAAGUCCACCCCAAGGAUGUCAAUUAGAAGUUUGUCUCGGUGGUGAUGGCUCAAAGAGGACCAAAAUUUCCUUUUGUCUAUAUAAAAAAAUAGACCAUUUUAAUACGUAUUUUGUCUCUGCUAUUCGUAGUAGUUCGGAUACGUUCCAGUGUGAGUCCCAUCCUAGGAGCAAUACAUAAUGAAGUACGUAAGUACCAUAAGUAGAGAUAAAAGGUCGUCUAUACAUUGUGAUUCAAUCAUAAUUUGACAUUUUGUAUUAGAAUCCUAAGAUCGUCGAGGUCCGAUAGCCUGACUCAAUUUUAAGGGUUAUGUAGAGUACACUCGACUAUGGUCUCAGGAAUCGUCUACUGUGUUGUUAGAAUUCAUAUAAUAUGUGACUGUCGAUUGAAAUUCUAGUAGGAAAACGCAUCCAGUCAAAGGGGGGGAGAAGUGUCGUGUAAAGAUGCUUGUCCCUUUUUUUGCUGCGUGUGAUCUAGACGCGGUAGCAGUUGCUGCGUGUGUAAAGAUGCGUCCACACGUUGUCUUAGUGCGCUGCUGCGCGUCGGGUUGGUUUGUACUGACGUCUAGUCUAGCAUAAGUUAGGUCGUCUAGUUGGUUUGUAUCUGUACAUUUCGAGAUCUGGAUCUGGUUCUAGGUGUAGGUUGUCAUGGUUCGGUCUAGGUGCUUGGGAUCCCAAGUAAGGCAUCGGUCCGUUUAGUUUGGCCUAGCUCCUGCGCCCUGUCCCCGAACUAGCCUAGCUCCUUGAAUGACCCGAAGACGACGAAGAGCAGCCGGGUGAACCUCUCCCUCUUCACCUGGAAGAGCGCCCUCCUCUGGAGCCAGAACUUCCCGAGGAACUCCGUCGAGGCGUGGUCGCGGCGCGUCUGCAACCUCAUCGGCUACAUCCAGUAGGGGCGGCGCGCGGUCUUCCCGUGGCGGCGGCAGUAGCGGCUGUAGCAGCGGAGGCGAAGGAGAGGAGACGAAAAAAAAAAGAGACGAUCCCAUCUUUCGAAGGAAA